UGGCAAAGAUAGGAUUUGAACCUAUAACAUUUGGAUUAUGAGCCCAACAAGCGUACCAUUGCUUUACUUUACC
rnacentral:tRNA from 1 species